rnacentral:rRNA from 1 species
CCUACGGGUGGCAGCAGUGGGGAAUAUUGGACAAUGGGCGAAAGCCUGAUCCAGCCAUGCCGCGUGUGUGAAGAAGGCCUUCGGGUUGUAAAGCACUUUCAGUGGGGAAGAAAGCCUUGGGGCUAAUACCCUCGAGGAAGGACAUCACCCACAGAAGAAGCACCGGCUAACUCCGUGCCAGGAGCCGCGGUAAUACGGAGGGUGCGAGCGUUAAUCGGAAUUACUGGGCGUAAAGCGCGCGUAGGCGGUCUGAUAAGCCGGUUGUGAAAGCCCCGGGCUCAACCUGGGAACGGCAUCCGGAACUGUCAGGCUAGAGUGCAGGAGAGGAAGGUAGAAUUCCCGGUGUAGCGGUGAAAUGCGUAGAGAUCGGGAGGAAUACCAGUGGCGAAGGCGGCCUUCUGGACUGACACUGACGCUGAGGUGCGAAAGCGUGGGUAGCAAACAGGAUUAGAUACCCCUGUAGUC